AUACUUACCUGGCAAGGGAGAUACCAUGAUCAAGAAGGUGGUUCACCCAGGGCGAGGCUCAACCAUUGCACUCCGGUUGUGCUGACCUCUGCCAAUUCCCCAAAUGUGGGAAUCUCGAUUGCAUAAUUUCUGGUAGUGGGGGACUGCGUUUGCGCUCUCCCCUG